GACGAACGCUGGCGGCGUGCUUAACACAUGCAAGUCGAACGGAAAGGCCCUGCUUUUGUGGGGUGCUCGAGUGGCGAACGGGUGAGUAACUCGUGAGUAACCUGCCCCUGACUUUGGGAUAACUUCAGGAAACUGGGGCUAAUACCGGAUAGGAGCUCCUGCUGCAUGGUGGGGGUUGGAAAGUUUCGGCGGUUGGGGAUGGACUCGCGGCUUAUCAGCUUGUUGGUGGGGUAGUGGCUUACCAAGGCUUUGACGGGUAGCCGGCCUGAGAGGGUGACCGGCCACAUUGGGACUGAGAUACGGCCCAGACUCCUACGGGAGGCAGCAGUGGGGAAUAUUGCACAAUGGGCGGAAGCCUGAUGCAGCAACGCCGCGUGCGGGAUGACGGCCUUCGGGUUGUAAACCGCUUUCGCCUGUGACGAAGCGUGAGUGACGGUAAUGGGUAAAGAAGCACCGGCUAACUACGUG
rnacentral:rRNA from 1 species